AGGCCCACUUGUACAUAAAUAAAUACAAAUAAUUGUGUGACUUCAGACGGCGCAUGCGCAAUCCUGUUUUAGCGCCUACAAUAAAACCAUUAGCCCCAGUAACUCUUUUUUCAGUGCUUUCCUGAAUUUACAGUCUUUAUCAACAGAAUCAUUUAACAAGGCUAAGCGACACAAUGGAAACAUUCCCUGGUUAAAACUGAACCCACAGGUCAAGGUUUGUACCACGUGACUAAACACUCACAGCAGGCGGAACAUCUCCGCUGAUAACAUCUUUUUUUAGCGGAGCAAGGCUGUCUGCUCCGCAAGCGAACUCACUACGGCUUUCACUGUGUUGAUCAAGUCAGCACCUCAGCCGGUUGAGACACGGCUGCCGUCAGUGAGCCUGCUUGAUGGACGGUGUUUGUAUGAAGACAGUGAGCCGCGGUGUGUGACAGGAGACACACGCUCCCUGUAUUGAGCUUAUGAAAUGAAACUCUCGUUAGCGCUCGGAACGUCAGCUCGCAAACCCUCGGUUUGACAGGCACCUGCCUCGACGUUGACAUUGUUGCACGCGAGGGGAUGCCUACGCUCGAAAAUAACGGAGUGUGUGGUUUGUCGUAGAGGGAUUCGCUUAUAAAACAACAGCCCCUGAGCACCGUUGCAUCGUGUCCGGUCGCUGAGACAACCUUCGACUUUUCAGCCUUUGCAGUCCGAUUUGGUCUCAGCAAGAAUCUUGAGCCUGCCAGCACCGUAUUACCGGAGCUUAUUGAGCUCAGCUCGGUUCAGCAAAUAGCUACUCUAUCAUCCAUUCUGUCAUCAAAGAACAAUCUCCAUUCGUGUCGUGCAGGCGAGAUGGACCCUAAGCAGCUGAGCCAGCCUGAUGGAACUACGCCAUCUCCUGCACCGACCGAGGGCGGCACCUCUCCUGCACCGACCGAGGGCGGCACCUCCUCUCCUGACCCCCCGACCUCUGACCUCACGGCUGCUCCCUUGGUCCCGGCCCGCCCACGCCGACCUCAGAGGGUACCUCAUGUGGAGGGCUCCAUCGACGUCUCCGAACCCAAAUCCUCAGGGGCUCCCGAAACCUCUCCUGCCCCUGCCCCUGAUGCCCCUGCCCCUGCCCCUGCCCCUGAUGCCCCUGCCCCUGCCCCUGCCUCUGCCCCUGCCCCUGCCCCUGAUGCCCCUGCCCCUGCCCCUGCCCCUGCCCCUGAUGCCCC
ensembl:lncRNA